CCUACGGGAGGCUGCAGUGGGGAAUAUUGCACAAUGGGGGGAACCCUGAUGCAGCGACGCCGCGUGAGUGAAGAAGUCUUUCGGUAUGUAAAGCUCUAUCAGCAGGGAAGAAAAUGACGGUGCCUGACUAAGAAGCACCGGCUAACUACGUGCCAGCAGCCGCGGUAAUACGUAGGGGGCAAGCGUUAUCCGGAUUUACUGGGUGUAAAGGGGGCGUAGACGGCAGAGCAAGUCUGAAGUGAAAGCCCGCGGCUCAACUGCGGGACUGCUUUGGAAACUGCCCGGCUAGAGUGCUGGAGAGGUAAGCGGAAGUCCGAGUGUAGCGGUGAAAUGCGUAGAUAUUAGGAGGAACACCAGUGGCGAAGGAGGCUUACUGGACAGUAACUGACGUUGAGGCUCGAAAGCGUGGGGAGCAAACAGGAUUAGAUACCCUAGUAGUC
rnacentral:rRNA from 1 species